rnacentral:lncRNA from 1 species
CCCCCCUCCCUUCAUUUGUGGGCCCAUUUUUUUCCAGCGCUGGCCCACAGAGCCUACUUGGGGAGCUGUGCAAUGGGGUCAGGCAUUGCUCCUGGCGGUGGUCCUGCACACCCUGCCCUGCAAGUGCCACCUGCCUCCACCGCCGGGGUUCCUGGUACGUGUGCGGUGCUCACCGGGUUAGGGAAUGCAUCUCGUGCAGCCCGCGCAGCUCCUCUGGGAGCUGGUCAAUGCUUCAGCAGUGCAAGGAAUCAAUAACGCAGUCCAUCCAAGGGUAGGAUAAUUAACUUGUGUUUUUUUUUUAUUUCCUAGGUUAAUAAACUGAAGUGUUGGUAAUUUCAAAGCAUGCCAUCUCUGCCGAUUUCUUCUGCUGGUCCAUGUGACGAUCUUAAAAGGGAGUUGUCUGGAUAUCCAAAGGCACGAUCUGAGCAUGUUCAUACCCUGAAACCAAAGUUUAAGAAAAUAUGGAUGAUGAAGCCUUUAAUGUCAAUGAAGGCACUAACUCUGAGCUGCCUACAGUCAGAAGCGAUUCAGAGGGAGGGUGAAUGGUCCUUCGUGAAGCACCUUUCCACAGUUGGAAGAGUAAGCACUGCCUACUCAUGGAUGAGACAGAAAUGUGUUUGGAUUUGUCAAGUGAAUUUCUUCUAAAUACUGCUAAUCAAAUGUAGAUGAGCUUGAAUUAUUUUUAAUGGCAUCCAAAAUUUGGAAUGCUGCUAACUGCUUUAAAU